rnacentral:rRNA from 1 species
UACGUAGGGGGCUAGCGUUGUCCGGAAUCCUUGGGCGUAAAGCGCGUGUAGGCGGCCCGGUAAGUCCGCUGUGAAAGUCGAGGGCUCAACCCUCGAAUGCCGGUGGAUACUGUCGGGCUAGAGUACGGAAGAGGCGAGUGGAAUUCCUGGUGUAGCGGUGAAAUGCGCAGAUAUCAGGAGGAACACCCAUUGCGAAGGCAGCUCGCUGGGACGUUACUGACGCUGAGACGCGAAAGCGUGGGGAGCAAACAGG